GAUGAAGAACGCAGCGAAAUGCGAUACGUAAUGUGAAUUGCAGAAUUCAGUGAAUCAUCGAAUCUUUGAACGCAUAUUGCGCUCUCUGGUAUUCCGGAGAGCAUGCUUGUUUGAGUAUCAGUAAACACCUCAACUUCCAUAUCUUUUUUGAAAUGGGAGUUGGACUUGAGUGAUCCCAACGCUUUUCCUUACCGAAAAGUGGCGGGUUACUUGAAAUGCAGGUGCAGCUGGACUUUUCUCUGAGCUAUAAGCAUAUCUAUUUAGUCUGCCUAAAAAACAGAUUAUUACCUUUGCUGCAGCUAACAUAAAGGAGAUUAGUUCUUGUGCUGACUGAUGCAGGAUUCACAAAGACGGCUUCGGCCGACUUUGUAAACUCGAUCUCAAAUCAAGUAAGACUACCCGCUGAACUUAAGCAUAUCAAUAAGCGGAGGA
rnacentral:misc_RNA from 1 species